AGUGAACGCUGGCGGUAGGCCUAACACAUGCAAGUCGAACGGCAGCACAGUAAGAUCUUGCUCUUACGGGUGGCGAGUGGCGGACGGGUGAGGAAUACAUCGGAAUCUACUUUUUCGUGGGGGAUAACGUAGGGAAACUUACGCUAAUACCGCAUACGACCUACGGCUGAAAGCAGGGGAUCUUCGGACCUUGCGCGAUUGAAUGAGCCGAUGUCGGAUUAGCUAGUUGGCGGGGUAAAGGCCCACCAAGGCGACGAUCCGUAGCUGGUCUGAGAGGAUGAUCAGCCACACUGGAACUGAGACACGGUCCAGACUCCUACGGGAGGCAGCAGUGGGGAAUAUUGGACAAUGGGCGCAAGCCUGAUCCAGCAAUACCGCGUGGGUGAAGAAGGCCUUCGGGUUGUAAAGCCCUUUUGUUGGGAAAGAAAAGCAGCAGGUUAAUACCCCGCUGUUCUGACGGUACCCAAAGAAUAAGCACCGGCUAACUUCGUG
rnacentral:rRNA from 1 species